rnacentral:rRNA from 1 species
CUUGACAUCCAGAGAAUUUAGCAGAGAUGCUUUAGUGCCUUCGGGAACUCUGAGACAGGUGCUGCAUGGCUGUCGUCAGCUCGUGUUGUGAAAUUGUUGGGUUAACGUCCGCAACGAGCGCAACCCUUAUCCUUUGUUGCCAGCACGUAAUGGUGGGAACUCAAAGGAGACUGCCGGUGAUAAACCGGAGGAAGGUGGGGAUGACGUCAAGUCAUCAUGGCCCUUACGAGUAGGGCUACACACGUGCUACAAUGGCGUAUACAAAGAGAAGCGACCUCGCGAGAGCAAGCGGACCUCAUAAAGUGCGUCGUAGUCCGGAUUGGAGUCUGCAACUCGACUCCAUGAAGUCGGAAUCGCUAGUAAUCGUAAAUCAGAAUGUUACGGUGAAUACGUUCCCGGGCCUUGUACACACCGCCCGUCACACCAUGGGAGUGGGUUGCAAAAGAAGUAGAUAGCUUAACCUUCGGGAGGGCGUUUACCACUUUGUGAUUCAUGACUGGGGUGAAGUCGUAACAAGGUAGGCGUAGUGCU